rnacentral:rRNA from 1 species
AGGGUUUGAUCAUGGCUCAGAACGUACGCUGGCGGCACGCCUAACACAUGCAAGUCGAACGAAGUAGCAAUACUUAGUGGCAGACGGGUGAGUAACAUGUAGGUAUCUACCCUUUGGCCUGGAAUAACACGAGGAAACUUGUGCUAAUACCGGAUAAGUCUUUACGGAGAAAGCUUUAUGCACCAUUGGAUGAGCCUGCACUUGAUUAGUUUGUUGGUAGGGUAAUGGCCUACCAAGACUAUGAUCAAUAGCUGAUUUGAGAGGAUGAUCAGCCACAUUGGGACUGAGACACGGCCCAAACUCCUACGGGAGGCAGCAGUGGGGAAUCUUGCACAAUGGAGGAAACUCUGAUGCAGCGAUGCCGCGUGAGUGAAGAAGGCCUUUGGGUUGUAAAGCUCUUUCGUCGGGGAAGAAAAUGACUGUACCCGAAUAAGAAGGUCCGGCUAACUUCGUGCCAGCAGCCGCGGUAAUACGAAGGGACCUAGCGUAGUUCGGAAUUACUGGGCUUAAAGAGUUCGUAGGUGGUUGAAAAAGUUGGUGGUGAAAUCCCAGAGCUUAACUCUGGAACUGCCAUCAAAACUUUUCAGCUAGAGUUUGAUAGAGGAAAGCAGAAUUUCUAGUGUAGAGGUGAAAUUCGUAGAUAUUAGAAAGAAUACCAAUUGCGAAGGCAGCUUUCUGGAUCAUUACUGACACUGAGGAACGAAAGCAUGGGUAGCGAAGAGGAUUAGAUACCCUCGUAGUCCAUGCCGUAAACGAUGUGUGUUAGACGUUGGAAAUUUAUUUUCAGUGUCGCAGCGAAAGCGAUAAACACACCGCCUGGGGAGUACGACCGCAAGGUUAAAACUCAAAUGAAUUGACGGGGACCCGCACAAGUAGUGGAGCAUGUGGUUUAAUUCGAAGAUACGCGCAGAACCUUACCAACACUUGACAUGUUCGUCGCGACUUUAAGAGAUUAAAGUUUUCGGUUCGGCCGGACGAAACACAGGUGCUGCAUGGCUGUCGUCAGCUCGUGUCGUGAGAUGUUGGGUUAAGUCCCGCAACGAGCGCAACCCUCACUUUUAGUUGCCAUCAUUAAGUUGGGCACUCUGAAAGAACUGCCAGUGAUAAGCUGGAGGAAGGUGGGGAUGACGUCAAGUCCUCAUGGCCCUUACGUGUUGGGCUACACACGUGCUACAAUGGUAUCUACAACAGGAAGCAAAACGGCGACGUUAAGCAAAUCCUUAAAAGAUACCUCAGUUCGGAUUGUACUCUGCAACUCGAGUACAUGAAGCUGGAAUUACUAGUAAUCGUGGAUCAGCGUGCCACGGUGAAUGCGUUCCCGGGUCUUGUACACACCGCCCGUCACACCAUGGGAGUUGGUUCUACCUUAAGGCAAGGUUUAAAACCCUUGACCACGGUAUAGUCAGCGACUGGGGUGAAGUCGUAACAAGGUAGCCGUA